AUACGUAGGUGGCGAGCGUUGUCCGGAAUUACUGGGCGUAAAGGGUGCGUAGGCGGUAGGCCAAGUCAGAUGUGAAAACCCAGGGCUCAACCCUGGGCCUGCAUUUGAAACUGGUCUACUAGAGUGCAGGAGAGGAAAGCGGAAUUCCUAGUGUAGCGGUGAAAUGCGUAGAUAUUAGGAAGAACACCAGUGGCGAAGGCGGCUUUCUGGACUGUAACUGACGCUGAGGCACGAAAGCGUGGGGAGCAAACAGGAUUAGAUACCCUGGUAGUCCACGCCGUAAACGAUGAGUGCUAGGUGUAGGGGGUGUCAUGCCUUCUGUGCCGCAGCAAACGCAAUAAGCACUCCGCCUGGGGAGUACGGUCGCAAGACUAAA
rnacentral:rRNA from 1 species